UACGUAGGGGGGCGAGCGUUGUCCGGAUUCAUUGGGCGUAAAGAGCUCGUAGGCGGCUUGUCAAGUCGGGUGUGAAACCUCCAGGCUCAACCUGGAGACGCCACUCGAGACUGUCAUGGCUAGAGUCCGGUAGGGGAUCACGGAAUUCCUGGUGUAGCGGUGAAAUGCGCAGAUAUCAGGAGGAACACCAAUGGCGAAGGCAGCUCGCUGGAACGGUACUGACGCUGAGGCGCGAAAGCGUGGGGAGCGAACAGG
rnacentral:rRNA from 1 species